UACGUAGGUGGCAAGCGUUAUCCGGAUUUACUGGGUGUAAAGGGCGUGUAGGCGGGACUGCAAGUCAGAUGUGAAACCCAUGGGCUCAACCCAUGGCCUGCAUUUGAAACUGUAGUUCUUGAGUGAUGGAGAGGCAGGCGGAAUUCCGUGUGUAGCGGUGAAAUGCGUAGAUAUACGGAGGAACACCAGGGCGAAGGCGGCCUGCUGGACAUUAACUGACGCUGAGGCGCGAAAGCGUGGGGAGCAAACAGG
rnacentral:rRNA from 1 species